UACGAAGGGGGCUAGCGUUGCUCGGAUUGACUGGGCGUAAAGGGCGCGUAGGCGGUUCGUACAGUCAGACGUGAAAUUCCUGGGCUCAACCUGGGGGCUGCGUUUGAUACGUGCGGACUUGAGUGCGGAAGAGGGUCGUGGAAUUCCCAGUGUAGAGGUGAAAUUCGUAGAUAUUGGGAAGAACACCGGUGGCGAAGGCGGCGACCUGGUCCGAUACUGACGCUGAGGCGCGAAAGCUAGGGUAGCAAACGGG
rnacentral:rRNA from 1 species